ACUUAUUUAAUAGACUUCCAAACACUAAAUUCUUUUUUACUUCUGGUACAUAAUAUACAUCAUUUAAGGUUAAAACCUUUCCAGAAGUGAAUUGUAGUUCAACAGACCCUUUGUCUUAGAUUGCUGCGGUGGAAGAAUUUCCCAUGUACAAGACAUUGUGAUUUUCACAUUGUGUGAACUUUGUGAACAUGCUUUUGUCUUUGCACACAUGUUUGGUUGCUC
rnacentral:lncRNA from 1 species